CGACUAAGCGUACACGGUGGAUGCCCUGGCAGUCAGAGGCGAUGAAGGGCGUGCUAAUCUGCGAUAAGCGCCGGUAAGGUGAUAUGAACCGUUAUAACCGGCGAUACCCGAAUGGGGAAACCCAGUGUGACUCGUCACACUAUCAUUAACUGAAUCCAUAGGUUAAUGAGGCGAACCGGGGGAACUGAAACAUCUAAGUACCCCGAGGAAAAGAAAUCAACCGAGAUUCCCCCAGUAGCGGCGAGCGAACGGGGAGGAGCCCAGAGCCUGAAUCAGCAUGUGUGUUAGUGGAAGCGUCUGGAAAGGCGCGCGAUACAGGGUGACAGCCCCGUACACAAAAGCGCAUGUGCUGUGAGCUCGAUGAGUAGGGCGGGACACGUGGUAUCCUGUCUGAAUAUGGGGGGACCAUCCUCCAAGGCUAAAUACUCCUGACUGACCGAUAGUGAACCAGUACCGUGAGGGAAAGGCGAAAAGAACCCCGGCGAGGGGAGUGAAAAAGAACCUGAAACCGUGUACGUACAAGCAGUGGGAGCACCCUUUGGGUGUGACUGCGUACCUUUUGUAUAAUGGGUCAGCGACUUAUAUUCUGUAGCAAGGUUAACCGAAUAGGGGAGCCGGAGGGAAACCGAGUCUUAACCGGGCGUUAAGUUGCAGGGUAUAGACCCGAAACCCGGUGAUCUAGCCAUGGGCAGGUUGAAGGUUGGGUAACACUAACUGGAGGACCGAACCGACUAAUGUUGAAAAAUUAGCGGAUGACCUGUGGCUGGGGGUGAAAGGCCAAUCAAACCGGGAGAUAGCUGGUUCUCCCCGAAAGCUAUUUAGGUAGCGCCUCGUGAAUUCAUCUCCGGGGGUAGAGCACUGUUUCGGCUAGGGGGCCAUCCCGGCUUACCAACCCGAUGCAAACUGCGAAUACCGGAGAAUGUUAUCACGGGAGACACACGGCGGGUGCUAACGUCCGUCGUGAAGAGGGAAACAACCCAGACCGCCAGCUAAGGUCCCAAAGUCAUGGUUAAGUGGGAAACGAUGUGGGAAGGCCCAGACAGCCAGGAUGUUGGCUUAGAAGCAGCCAUCAUUUAAAGAAAGCGUAAUAGCUCACUGGUCGAGUCGGCCUGCGCGGAAGAUGUAACGGGGCUAAACCAUGCACCGAAGCUGCGGCAGCGACACUGUGUGUUGUUGGGUAGGGGAGCGUUCUGUAAGCCUGUGAAGGUGUGUCGUGAGGCAUGCUGGAGGUAUCAGAAGUGCGAAUGCUGACAUAAGUAACGAUAAAGCGGGUGAAAAGCCCGCUCGCCGGAAGACCAAGGGUUCCUGUCCAACGUUAAUCGGGGCAGGGUGAGUCGACCCCUAAGGCGAGGCCGAAAGGCGUAGUCGAUGGGAAACGGGUUAAUAUUCCCGUACUUGGUGUUACUGCGAAGGGGGGACGGAGAAGGCUAUGUUGGCCGGGCGACGGUUGUCCCGGUUUAAGCGUGUAGGUGUGUGUUCCAGGUAAAUCCGGUUCACUUUAACACUGAGGCGUGACGACGAGGCACUACGGUGCUGAAGCAACAAAUGCCCUGCUUCCAGGAAAAGCCUCUAAGCAUCAGGUAACAUCAAAUCGUACCCCAAACCGACACAGGUGGUCAGGUAGAGAAUACCAAGGCGCUUGAGAGAACUCGGGUGAAGGAACUAGGCAAAAUGGUGCCGUAACUUCGGGAGAAGGCACGCUGACACGUAGGUGAAGUGAUUUACUCAUGGAGCUGAAGUCAGUCGAAGAUACCAGCUGGCUGCAACUGUUUAUUAAAAACACAGCACUGUGCAAACACGAAAGUGGACGUAUACGGUGUGACGCCUGCCCGGUGCCGGAAGGUUAAUUGAUGGGGUCAGCGCAAGCGAAGCUCCUGAUCGAAGCCCCGGUAAACGGCGGCCGUAACUAUAACGGUCCUAAGGUAGCGAAAUUCCUUGUCGGGUAAGUUCCGACCUGCACGAAUGGCGUAAUGAUGGCCAGGCUGUCUCCACCCGAGACUCAGUGAAAUUGAACUCGCUGUGAAGAUGCAGUGUACCCGCGGCAAGACGGAAAGACCCCGUGAACCUUUACUAUAGCUUGACACUGAACAUUGAGCCUUGAUGUGUAGGAUAGGUGGGAGGCUUUGAAGUGUGGACGCCAGUCUGCAUGGAGCCGACCUUGAAAUACCACCCUUUAAUGUUUGAUGUUCUAACGUGGACCCGUUACCCGGGUUGCGGACAGUGUCUGGUGGGUAGUUUGACUGGGGCGGUCUCCUCCUAAAGAGUAACGGAGGAGCACGAAGGUUGGCUAAUCCUGGUCGGACAUCAGGAGGUUAGUGCAAUGGCAUAAGCCAGCUUGACUGCGAGCGUGACGGCGCGAGCAGGUGCGAAAGCAGGUCAUAGUGAUCCGGUGGUUCUGAAUGGAAGGGCCAUCGCUCAACGGAUAAAAGGUACUCCGGGGAUAACAGGCUGAUACCGCCCAAGAGUUCAUAUCGACGGCGGUGUUUGGCACCUCGAUGUCGGCUCAUCACAUCCUGGGGCUGAAGUAGGUCCCAAGGGUAUGGCUGUUCGCCAUUUAAAGUGGUACGCGAGCUGGGUUUAGAACGUCGUGAGACAGUUCGGUCCCUAUCUGCCGUGGGCGCUGGAGAACUGAGGGGGGCUGCUCCUAGUACGAGAGGACCGGAGUGGACGCAUCACUGGUGUUCGGGUUGUCAUGCCAAUGGCACUGCCCGGUAGCUAAAUGCGGAAGAGAUAAGUGCUGAAAGCAUCUAAGCACGAAACUUGCCCCGA
rnacentral:rRNA from 1 species